CGUGCAGGCCGGGUGACCGCGGGCCGUCAGUCGUGAGACUGGGGGCCUGAGGAAAGUCCGGACACCGCAGGGCAGGACGCUGGGCUCUCCCAUUCGGGCUGGCCCAGGCGGCGAAAGCCGACGGAAAGUGGAACAGAAAGGAGACCGCCGGCCGAGGACAACCGACGCCGGUAAGGGUGAAACGGUGGGGUAAGAGCCCACCAGCGGCCGUGGCGACACGGCCGGCUGGCCAAACCCCGUCCGGUGCAAGGCGAAGCAGGUCNNNNNNNNNNNNNNGUACGCCGCAGAGAGAGAUGGUCACCUUCGACAGAAUCCGGCUUACAGGCCUGCUAAAGAA
rnacentral:RNase_P_RNA from 2 species